UAUGAGUUUUAAGGAUAUAGAUGAUUAUCUGAGUUUAGAAAGGAUUAUAGAAGAGAAUAAGAGAUUAAGAGACAGAUUAGAGACUAAUGGAGAAUCAUAAUGAAAUGAGUAUAUAGAGAGAUUGUUUAGAACUGUCUAAUCUUAUUAUGAGAUGAGGUUACAUCAUUUAUAGAAGAGGCAUUAGGGUUUACAAGUUAAGGGAAAACAUCACUAGUCAUAAGCAUGUGUAGUCAAGACUAAAGGAAGCGUUUCUUUUGAAUGAAUGGACGGUAAGGCUCACACGCUUUGCCUUUGCUUUUACAGCCUGUCCACGGACUGGAUGGAUAAGGCUCGUCCUUCCCUUAUCCCUAAACGGUCUGAUCAGUCUUGAGACCCUCCGUUUUAAGAGAACAAGUGAGUGUGUUUGAGAGUUUCUUGAGAGUUCAAAAGCUCAAAGUGUUUUGUGUGUGUCUCGGUGAUCCGUGGGAGGUUCAUUUGAAGACUCAAGAGUAAAU
rnacentral:lncRNA from 1 species